rnacentral:piRNA from 1 species
GAAAACCUGAAAGGCGUGCUAGAAGGAUUC